GUUUCAUUGGCGCCAAAAGGCUCAGUGGUUUAAGCCUUGGACAAGAGCGAUACUUUAUUGGAUGCAUGACAGCCUUGUGCAAUGCAGUUGGGGACAAUGGCAUCGAGGCAUCGUGGCCUUCUGGACAUGUCAGUGUUCCCCUGGUGUUUGCUCACAGAUGUGUAGCCUUCAUGUUGUGAUAAGAAACAUUGUGUACCAUUGUGCUUACAGCUGCCUGAUUCUCUUACUGUGGUGACAAUUGUGGCAGGAAUUGCCAGUGCAUAAUGGGAAACCAUCAACCACUUGGGCGCAUUGUGGCAGGAACCUUGUUCGCAAUUGGCUAGAAUUGAAGCCUGAAUGUAAUGUGGCAUAGUUAUUGCCAGUGUCGGUGGCAAGAAAAUGUAGAGUACAGCAGGGAUGGUCAAAUGCAGAAAGCAUGCAGUUGAAGUGGUGUGAAAUGAAACGCAACAAAAACAGCUUUUGCUAAUGCAAGUGUACAGACGGGGAAUACUGAAUGCAGUGGAGAUGUGACCUCUGCAAGCAGAUGUUGUAAUUUCCUGCUCGAGCCUUUGCACGUGCUCUGCCAUAUGGCUUUUAUGGAUAGUGGUCUUCAGGCCUCUUCGAUGUAUUUGUAGAUUAAAAACAAAGUUUCCUUGUUUGUAACUAUAUGGAGCCUUAAUUUUUUUGGUGCACAACAGUUAGUUACUAUACCUUUUAAUAUUUCCAGUUCAAAACACUUGGCAUUGGACUAGAAGCACAUCUGUUCAAGUCGCCUAAAUCUCUGCUAGAAGCAGAGUUCAUUCAGCACCCGAUCGGAUAGUAAGGAAGAGAAAGCCCUCCUGCAUUUCCAAGGCAAGCACAAAAUUGGAAGAGACAGUUUGGCAGCUUUUGGUGACAUGAUCGUUGUGUGGCCUUCAAGCACUGCUCCAGGCUGACUUGCACCUACUUCAGUUGUUUGUCAUACUGCAUAAGUGGCCACUGCAGGUUUGAGUGACAUGAGUGAUCUUUUGUUUCAUGUCCAAAGUAUGAUGUUUUGUUUAUGUCCAAUGCAGAUGUGUUUAGUACACAUGUGUGUCAGUCAACUUAAAGGUGAUACAAUUACUGGCCUGCGCUCUUGGGGAAUUCAAUCUUCAUUCCGUAAUUAUGGAGUCUACAGCUGCAUAAAAAUAAAAAAAGUGAGACAGAAAAUUUUCAAUGUCUGUCUCCUUACUGCCUUAAAUUGUGCAGGUGCUUCGUGAAUGUGGUGAGCUAGAGCUAUGCGUGCAUGUUUCUAUGCACGUAGGGCUAAAAUUGUGUUACUGGUGGUCAUCCUCAGGGCAUGCAUAGCAUUAGUUUGUGUUUGUUAUGUUCAUGUGAUCAGUAUUCAUUGUUUACACCGCCUUGGCUUGUUAUAGUUGAUGCAGUCGUGUACUGUUGUGUGCAGUAGUGCACAAGGCGACAAUACACAAUCUUCACCAUUCUGUUGACUGCUUUGCAAAUUAUACAACACUGCAAACAACAGAGGAUUACCAGCUAGCCCAAUCUGCCACCAUUCUUCACAUUGUGCAUUUAGUUGGCAUCUAAUUUUUAGCUCCUCAUUCUCUGACCUUGCCUCAGUGAAACAGUCCUGUGAUCCAUUUGUGCCAUGCAAACAAUUACUCUAUGCAAGCCUUAACCAUCAUUAUUUUGCCGUGCCUUAGUCUUGCAAUAUGUCAUGUCAUUUUCUCUUAUGAACAGUGUCCCUUCUUUUUCUUUUUUUCUAGAAUAGCUUUGGAGAAAAUUGUGUACGCUACAGCUCGGGAAAGAAUGUAUAUGUCAAAAAAUGAAAUAAAAGUUCAUUGUCUGUCUGUCUUAAAAAAUGACACGUAUGAAUGCCGGAAAACGUAGUGUUAUAAGAUACAACUGGACAAAUAGUCUAAACACAGUCAUGACACAAGCAAGAGAAAUGCCAUGUGUGCAAGAAGUACUGCUUUUAAAUCGGUGCUGCAUUGUGGAUCCAAGGCAAACUGAAAAUGUGCUUUAGUCGUAGUAGUAGUAGUAGUAGUAGUAGUAGUAGUAGUAGUAGUAGUAGUAGUAGUAGUAGUAGUAGUAGUAGUAGUUCUGCUGUAUUAGAAAGGGGGAAAGUAGGUAGGAAAUGAAGGGCAUCACAACUGUCUCUCUCUUCAGUGGAGUCCUGAACUGUCCUGCGGCCGUCAGAAUAGAUGGGGUUGAAAUGAAAAGAUGGGGGAGGGGGAAAUAUAAUAGAUGUAUAGAGAAAAGUGAAAAGGGCAGAAAUGCUAUAGGAAAAAAGAUAUGUAUAAGAACUGCUUCACGACCUAGAAUGUAUAUGCCAAAAGAUAUGUUUGCUGGUAAAAGCGUGUAUGCAGUAAAAUAUUGUAACAAAGAAGGUGUUCUGGGUUCUCGCUGUUACCGAGAUCAGAGAUUCUGUUUGGCCAGAACUGCCUGGGUUCUCUUGGUGCUCUGCUGCCUUAAUAAACUGCCUUGCGUUAUAAUUAUUGCUGCCCUUGCCGUGUGUGCCUCUUUAGUGGCAAAUAGGACUUUCAGCAAACUGGGAAAUAGAGAUUUGUAAGAACUAGACAUAGGCAACAAGAAAGUGUUCAUUUGGUGUCAACUUCCCUGCAUGUUCUGUAUGGUUCAGCUGUGCUUCAGUCUCAUUACUUCAAAUGCCCCUUCUUUCAUUAGCUUGACUUCACAAUUUAUUACCGUGUGCUUUUAAUUGAGACAAGAGAAACACUAAAUCAGUUUAAAUGUAUAAAGUAUUCUUUAAAAACAACUUUCGUUAUUUUCACAGUAAGAGGUUGAAUAUCAGAAGAGAAAACAAAGCCCAAAGUACCACUGUUAAAAUUUCGUGCUGAAACCCCAGCUUACAUACGUCAGGGCAAUGUUUGGAAUUUCAUAGUGUUUUCUUCACAUUUGCACCAUUGGGGUUUAGUGAAACUUCCUCAAACUCACCAAGUUCAGUCUUGGGUUCGUUUGGAAUAGAAUGCUGUUCCCCUUUACUGGCACAACAAUUAGGUUAGGUGCGAGUGGUGCUGUCGAAAUGCAUGAUGUCACAGUGAGCUGUUGUGGGAAUGCGGUGACGCUUCUCUGGCUAGCCUCUUCUCAUGAUGAGAGUGGCUUGCUUGGUGUUUGGAAACUCUAAUCCACCAGCCCAGUUCAAAUCACUUUCCUCUUUGGUGUCAUUUCACACAGGUGACCGGUUGUAUGCAGAUCAUCCAUGCAAAAUUUUCAGUGUGGGAAGCAACAAUGAAAAGGAGAUGAGAAGAGUGAAAGAUGUGUAAUGUUUGUGUCAUUGUGUUCGUUGCCUUCUGUCGUUGGUUUCAUCGGUUGCUGUUCUGUGUAUUCAAAAACGGAGAUCAAGUGUGGCGGCCUGUCUGCUUCGUGCAGGUGAGACGGUGAGCUCCCUGCUGAGCCAAGGCCGCCUGCUGUAUGCAUGCUCGUACUGCCCGUACACCUCGGUGCGGCGGUACACUGUGAAGCUGCAUGAGCGCACCCACACGGGCGAGCGGCCAUUUGUGUGCAACGUAUGCAAUCGACGCUUUGUGCAGCGCACCCACCUGGUGGUGCACCAGAAACGGCACGCCUCGGAGAAAAAGCCCCGCAAGUUGUUCGAAUGUCCCGACUGCCAAGCACAGUUCUUGAGCAAGAGGUGGUUCAAAUGCCACCGCAUGUCGCACACAAUGUGAUGGAGGAAUUAACUCGGCCACACGGGCUUGGCAGUACUCGAGGUCACCGAUGGCUUUCGUAGCAGAAAGUGGUUAGCACAACUGCAAAUUAGACUUUCGUACCCCAGGAAGUGUGAAUUUGACUCCUGUUAGGAUUCUCAACAAUGAGAUUGUAGAGCAUUGCAUGUCAGGGAUAAAUGUGCUUUAGGGCUGCGAAACAUUAUCUCUCUUAUGCUGUGUGGGAGAAUUCAGUAUCUUGACUUUAAAGUGAGUUCACUAGCUCUUCCCCAUAGUGUAGAAAACUUAAGCUAGACUCGAAAUGUUCACAGGCUCAGGCCAGUGUGAAGUCUACAACAUUUUCGUUGCACUGCUAAGUUCCAGAUGCAGCUAUGACAGCAUCAAGAGGGUUGCUCUAAUUUCAUGUGUACAAUGUUGUUUAGUGUUCUGUAGUACAAAUACUGCAACGAGCUGCGUCUACAACCGCAUGUUUGUCUGGUAACCGAACCACAGAGGCCAUUUCAAACACAGGACGUCUACAUCUCGUCCAGUCACCUAAUUACCAAAUGCAACAGGCAGCCUGAAGCUUACUGCUUGUCAAUGUCCUUUGCUGGUUGAAGGCAUUAUUUAAUUUUUGCCUAUUGCCACAGUUACCAUGUCAACUACCCAAGCGUCUGUACCAGACCACCAGCCGCAGAAAUGGUACAAAUUUAUAAGUGUAGCACGAUAGAUGAAACUAAGAAAGAAGGCUCAACAAGCGCUAUCUUGCAGGAGAAAUUGUACUUGAAUAAGCAUACAACUACGGACACCAACGACCAUCGUUGCCUCAACCCAUUUGAAUAGUACUUUCUUUUUCUUAGUCUUCUUUGCACUCUUGAACUUGCACUCAACUUGCUUUUACCUUGUGCUAUUGUUUGCAGUUCCUCUAUUGUGUGAUGUUAAGCAAGGGAAGCAUGUUUUUCAUACCACAAUAGUGUGCUCUGUCUGUACAGCUGUUCCUGCAUUUGCAUUUAUUAUCUGUAGAUCUGUCAUCAGCUUUCCUUUUGUAUUAUUUUUCUUAUGCACAUUUCUUUUUUUCUUGAGUCUGUGUGUCUCUGUGGUGUGCUUGACUGGGCCUGUGUGCCGCCCCCCAACAGGCCCAGUCAAGUCAUUUUUGUUCCGCUUUUCGUCUGUGCUCCUGACAUGUAUCCACAGUGUCCAAUAAAGAUUUCAUUGAUCGAUUAAA